UUCCCUUUCUGGGGGCUAAUUGAGGAAGUAAAAGUCGUAACAAGGUUUCCGUAGGUGAACCUGCGGAAGGAUCAUUAUUGAAUAUGCUUGAUAGGUUGUAGCUGGCUCUUCGGAGUAUGUGCACGCUUAUCUUGACUUAUAUCAUCCACCUGUGCACCUUUUGUAGUCUUGGGGGUUGAGAUCGGUCGACUAUCGGAGUCAAUCCGGAUGUGAGGAAUGCUGAGUGCGAAAGCAUACAGCUCUUCUCAAAUGACUUGUCUUCCUCGAGUACUAUGUAUUCAUAUACCACAUAGUAUGUUGUAGAAUGUGAUCAAUGGGUCUAUGUACCUAUAAUAAUCAUAUACAACUUUCAGCAACGGAUCUCUUGGCUCUCGCAUCGAUGAAGAACGCAGCGAAAUGCGAUAAGUAAUGUGAAUUGCAGAAUUCAGUGAAUCAUCGAAUCUUUGAACGCACCUUGCGCUCCUUGGUAUUCCGAGGAGCAUGCCUGUUUGAGUGUCAUUAAAUUCUCAACCCCUCCAGUUGUGAUGGGGCUUGGAUAUGGGGGCUUGCGGGUCUUUACUGAUGUAAAGGUCAGCUCUCCUGAAAUACAUUAGCGGAACCGUUUGCAGUCCCGUCACUGGUGUGAUAAUUAUCUACGCUGUGAUGGAUUGCUCUCUGACUAGUUCAGCUGCUAAUCGUCCGUUAUGGACAAUGUUUAAUGAACUUCUUGACCUCAAAUCAGGUAGGACUACCCGCUGAACUUAAGCAUAUCAA
rnacentral:rRNA from 1 species